rnacentral:piRNA from 1 species
UGAGUGAAGUAACCCAAUCACAAAGGAA